GAUGAACGCUAGCGGCAGGCUUAACACAUGCAAGUCGAACGGUAACAGGUCCUUCGGGAUGCUGACGAGUGGCGCACGGGUGCGUAACGCGUAUACAAUCUACCUUUUACAGGGGGAUAGCCCAGAGAAAUUUGGAUUAAUAUCCCAUAGUAUUAUUGAAUGGCAUCAUUUGAUAAUUAAAGCUUCGGCGGUAAGAGAUGAGUAUGCGUUCUAUUAGCUAGUAGGUAAGGUAACGGCUUACCUAGGCAACGAUAGAUAGGGGUCCUGAGAGGGAGAUCCCCCACACUGGUACUGAGACACGGACCAGACUCCUACGGGAGGCAGCAGUGAGGAAUAUUGGACAAUGGAGGCAACUCUGAUCCAGCCAUGCCGCGUGCAGGAAGACGGCCCUAUGGGUUGUAAACUGCUUUUGUACAGGAAGAAACACUCCCUCGUGAGGGAGCUUGACGGUACUGUAUGAAUAAGCACCGGCUAACUCCGUGC
rnacentral:rRNA from 1 species